rnacentral:tRNA from 1 species
GGUGAAGUAGUUCAGUGGUAGAAUACAACCUUGCCAAGGUUGGGGUCGCGGGUUCGAAUCCCGUCUUCCGCUCCA